rnacentral:siRNA from 1 species
AUUCAGGAAGAGGUCACAAUGCA